rnacentral:rRNA from 1 species
GAUGAACGCUGGCGGCGUGCUUAACACAUGCAAGUCGAACGAUGAACCUCACUUGUGGGGGGAUUAGUGGCGAACGGGUGAGUAACACGUGAGUAACCUGCCCUUGACUCUGGGAUAAGCCUGGGAAACCGGGUCUAAUACUGGAUACGACCUUCUGGCGCAUGCCCUGUUGGUGGAAAGCUUUUGUGGUUUUGGAUGGACUCGCGGCCUAUCAGCUUGUUGGUGGGGUAAUGGCCUACCAAGGCGACGACGGGUAGCCGGCCUGAGAGGGUGACCGGCCACACUGGGACUGAGACACGGCCCAGACGCCUACGGGAGGCAGCAGUGGGGAAUAUUGCACAAUGGGCGCAAGCCUGAUGCAGCGACGCCGCGUGAGGGAUGAAGGCCUUCGGGUUGUAAACCUCUUUCAGUAGGGAAGAAGCCGGCUUUUGGGUUGGUGACGGUACCUGCAGAAGAAGCGCCGGCUAACUACGUG